GCUGUGUUGCCUCUCUGAAUCAAUUUCGAGUCCGACAAUGCGAUACGAAUAUGGUUUACCCUUCGAUGCGGUUUCGCACGUAUUUUCAAACGUCGAACGUACAUAGUCGGCGAGUGGAAAUGUGACGUUUAUUCCUUCCCCCUCCGGCCCUCCUCCCCUCCCCUCUUCCCACCGUCCCUCCCUCCCGUUAUUCCCUUCGAUAAAAGUUAAAAGAGUUAAUAAUACUUUUCAAUCGGUGUUAUUAGGAAUCGUUUUCAAUUGGUUUUCGUGAUUAAUUUUGGUCGAGUCGUUAUUGGAAAAUUUUUUAAUCAAGGAAAUCAAAUGGAAAAGGACGGUGAGGAGGGAAUCAUCGAAAUGGAUUAUCGAAGCGUAGAAUGAGCUACUUUAUACGUAAAUUCCAAACGAUCAUUGGCACGGCUUCCCCUCCCCCCCCCCUCCUCCUCGCCCGGUCCCUCCCUCACCACCCAAUGACUAAUGACGAUCGGUUAGCGAUUAAGUGCAUCGUCCAUAUGCGUCGGAAUUAUUAGCGGUGCAGCUGAUGCUUUGGAGGUGGGGCGAGAGGAGGGGCCCUGGCGAGGGGAAAAAGAAAAGAGGAAGGAAAAAGAAAAUGACAAAAGUCACGAGCUUGCGAGAGUUUGCAUAUUGAAAACGUGCACCCGAACUCGAGGAAUCUGGUUACAUGAGGAGGAUGGCGCAUAUCGACCUCGUUUCUCGCGCUACGAACGCAGCUGCGCUUAUUGCGCUUCGAUCUAAAGAAGAAGAAUCACACUUGACCAUCUUUACAUUUUGAAAGGAGCCAGAGAGUGUCUUCUACGUCGACCAAAAGCUCUUCCGCAAACGCAAUAAUCUUCGAAGCGGAGAAGUGCCGCUAAGAUCUCUUUCUCUUUCCUUCCAUCUUCCUUAAACUCCUUCUUCUUCUUCUUCUUCUUCAUCUUGCUCUUUAUAUUUCCUUUCAAUAUAGAACA